CCUACGGGGGGCUGCAGUGGGGAAUAUUGGACAAUGGGCGCAAGCCUGAUCCAGCCAUGCCGCGUGAGUGAUGAAGGCCUUAGGGUUGUAAAGCUCUUUUGUCCGGGAAGAUAAUGACUGUACCGGAAGAAUAAGCCCCGGCUAACUUCGUGCCAGCAGCCGCGGUAAUACGAAGGGGGCUAGCGUUGUUCGGAAUCACUGGGCGUAAAGCGCACGUAGGCGGGCCGUUAAGUCGGAGGUGAAAGCCUGGGGCUCAACCCCAGAACUGCCUUCGAUACUGGCGGUCUUGAGUAUGGUAGAGGUUGGUGGAACUCCGAGUGUAGAGGUGAAAUUCGUAGAUAUUCGGAAGAACACCAGUGGCGAAGGCGGCCAACUGGACCAUUACUGACGCUGAGGUGCGAAAGCGUGGGGAGCAAACAGGAUUAGAUACCCCUGUAGUC
rnacentral:rRNA from 1 species